UACGUAGGGUGCAAGCGUUGUCCGGAAUUAUUGGGCGUAAAGAGCUCGUAGGCGGUUCGUCGCGUCGGCUGUGAAAUCCCGAGGCUCAACCUCGGGUCUGCAGUCGAUACGGGCGGACUGGAGUUCGGCAGGGGAGACUGGAAUUCCUGGUGUAGCGGUGAAAUGCGCAGAUAUCAGGAGGAACACCAAUGGCGAAGGCAGCUCUCUGGGACGGUACUGACGCUGAGACGCGAAAGCGUGGGGAGCGAACAGG
rnacentral:rRNA from 1 species